rnacentral:rRNA from 1 species
CCUGGUAGAACCGGGGUAAGCGUGUAGGAGGAGGACCAGGUAAAUCCGGGCCUCAUAAACUCUGAGACGUGAUACCGAGCCGCUUCAGGCGAAGUCAUUGAUCCUAUGCUGCCUAGAAAAGCCCAGCAGCGAGUUGACAUGGUGCCCGUACCCCAAACCAACACAGGUGGACAGGUAGAGCAUACCAAGGCGAGUGGGAUAACUAUGGUUAAGGAACUCGGCAAAUUGCCUCCGUAACUUCGGGAGAAGGAGGACCCCAGUAGCGUGAUGAGACUUGCUCUCUGAGCGUGAAGGGGUGGCACAAAAUUGAGGGAAGCGACUGUUUACCAAAAACACAGCAGCGUGCUAAGCCGUAAGGCGCUGUAUACGCUGUGACUCCUGCCCGGUGCUGGAAGGUUACGGGGAUGGGUUAGUCCUUCGGGACGAAGCUCUGAACCUAAGCCCCAGUAAACGGCGGCCGUAACUAUAACGGUCCUAAGGUAGCGAAAUUCCUUGUCGGGUAAGUUCCGACCUGCACGAAUGGAGUAACGACUUCCCUACUGUCUCAACCAUAGACCCGGCGAAAUUGAAGUACGAGUAAAGAUGCUCGUUAGCUGCAGAAGGACGGAAAGACCCCGUGGACCUUUACUAUAACUUGAUGUUGUGUUUUGUCAUAUGUUGUGUAGGAUAGGUGGGAGACUUGGAAGCAUGGACGCUAGUCUGUGUGGAGUCAUCGUUGAAAUACCACCCUGCAUAUGGUGAGGCUCUAACCUAGACCCGUUAUCCGGGUUGGGGACAGCGUCAGGCGGGUAGUUUAACUGGGGCGGUUGCCUCCUAAAGAGUAACGGAGGCGCCCAAAGGUUCCCUCAGCCUGGUUGGCAAUCAGGCGUUGAGUGCAAUGGCAAAAGGGAGCUUGACUGCGAGACCUACAAGUCGAGCAGGAGCGAAAGCUGGGCAUAGUGAUCCGGCGGUUGCGUGUGGAAGCGCCGUCGCUCAACGGAUAAAAGGUACCCCGGGGAUAACAGGCUAAUCUUGCCCAAGCGUCCAUAGCGACGGCAAGGUUUGGCACCUCGAUGUCGGCUCAUCGCAUCCUGGGGCUGAAGCAGGUCCCAAGGGUUGGGCUGUUCGCCCAUUAAAGCGGUACGCGAGCUGGGUUCAGAACGUCGUGAGACAGUUCGGUCCCUAUCCUCUGCAGCCGGAGGUGAAUUGAGGAAAGCUGUCCC